rnacentral:rRNA from 1 species
AUCAACUUUCGAUGGUAGGAUAGAGGCCUACCAUGGUGGUAACGGGUAACGGGGUGUUAGGGCACGACACCGGAGAGGGAGCCUGAGAAACGGCUACCACAUCCAAGGAUGGCAGCAGGCGCGCAAAUUACCCAAUCCCGACACGGGGAGGUAGUGACAAUAAAUAACAAUACGGGGUCCUUUCGGGUUUCGUAAUUGGAAUGAGUACAAUUUAAAUCUCUUAACGAGGAACAAUUGGAGGGCAAGUCUGGUGCCAGCAGCCGCGGUAAUUCCAGCUCCAAUAGCGUAUAUUAAAGUUGUUGCAGUUAAAAAGCUCGUAGUUGAAUUUCGGGAUUAGUACGUUGGUCGUGCCUUCGGUACGUACUGGUGUUACUGAUUCCUACCUUCUGACGAACCAUCAUGUCAUUAAUUUGGUGUGGUGGGAAAUCAGGACUGUUACUUUGAAAAAAUUAGAGUGUUUAAAGCAGGCUCGCGCUUGAAUACAUUAGCAUGGAAUAAUGAAAUAGGACGUUGACCCUAUUUUGUUGGUUUCUAGGAUUGACGUAAUGAUUAAUAGGGAUAGUUGGGGGCAUUAGUAUUCAAUUGUCAGAGGUGAAAUUCUUGGAUUUAUUGAAGACUAACUACUGCGAAAGCAUUUGCCAAGGAUGUUUUUAUUAAUCAAGAACGAAAGUUAGGGGAUCGAAGACGAUCAGAUACCGUCGUAGUCUUAACCAUAAACUAUGCCGACUAGGGAUCGGAUGAUGUUAAUUUUUUAAUGACUCAUUCGGCGCCUUACGGGAAACCAAAGUGUUUGGGUUC